rnacentral:rRNA from 1 species
AGUGAACGCUGGCGGUAGGCCUAACACAUGCAAGUCGAACGGCAGCACAGUAAGAGCUUGCUCUUACGGGUGGCGAGUGGCGGACGGGUGAGGAAUACAUCGGAAUUUACUUUUUCGUGGGGUAUAACGUAGGGGAACUUACGCUAAUACCGCAUACGACCUACGGGUGAAAGCAGGGGAGCUUCGGACCUUUCGCGAUUGAAUGAGCCGAUUUGGGAUUAGCUAGUUGGCGGGGUAAAGGCCCACCAAGGCGACGAGCCGUAGAGGGUGUGAGAGGCUGAUCACCCACACUGGAACUAAGACACGGUCCAGACUACUACGGGAGGCAGCAGUGGGGAAUAUUGGACAAUGGGCGCAAGCCUGAUACAGCCAUCCCGCGUGGGUGAAGACGGCCUUCGGGUUGUAAAGCCCUUUUGUUGGGAAAGAAAAGCAGCAGGUUAAUACCCCGCUGUUCUGACGGUACCCAAAGAAUAAGCACCGGCUAACUUCGUG